rnacentral:rRNA from 1 species
GACGAACGCUGGCGGCGUGCCUAAUACAUGCAAGUUGAGCGCUGAAGGUUGGUACUUGUACCGACUGGAUGAGCAGCGAACGGGUGAGUAACGCGUGGGGAAUCUGCCUUUGAGCGGGGGACAACAUUUGGAAACGAAUGCUAAUACCGCAUAAAAACUUUAAACACAAGUUUUAAGUUUGAAAGAUGCAAUUGCAUCACUCAAAGAUGAUCCCGCGUUGUAUUAGCUAGUUGGUGAGGUAAAGGCUCACCAAGGCGAUGAUACAUAGCCGACCUGAGAGGGUGAUCGGCCACAUUGGGACUGAGACACGGCCCAAACUCCUACGGGAGGCAGCAGUAGGGAAUCUUCGGCAAUGGACGAAAGUCUGACCGAGCAACGCCGCGUGAGUGAAGAAGGUUUUCGGAUCGUAAAACUCUGUUGGUAGAGAAGAACGUUGGUGAGAGUGGAAAGCUCAUCUAGUGACGGUAACUACCCAGAAAGGGACGGCUAACUACGUG